UACGUAGGGGGCUAGCGUUGUCCGGAAUCAUUGGGCGUAAAGAGCGUGUAGGCGGUCCGGUAAGUCCGCUGUGAAAGUCGGGGGCUCAACCCUCGAAUGCCGGUGGAUACUGUCGGGCUUGAGUACGGAAGAGGCGAGUGGAAUUCCCGGUGUAGCGGUGAAAUGCGCAGAUAUCGGGAGGAACACCUAUGGCGAAGGCAGCUCGCUGGGACGUUACUGACGCUGAGACGCGAAAGCGUGGGGAGCAAACAGG
rnacentral:rRNA from 1 species